UAAGAAUGUUUUUCUGUGGACUCCAUUGAAGUUAAAGUUAAAUCAUAAUUUUAACACAUAUAUGUCCCCCAAUAAUACCCUAAGGACCUAAUAUGCAUUAGGUAGAUAAAGAAACCAACACAAUUAUUAAGAUAAACAAUAACUUUUAUUUAAUGAAUACAUUAACAAAUCUCAAACAAGAAUGUACAAAUGUCUUCACUUUUUUCAGUCUGUCCUAACAUAAACAAGGUGAACAAGUCAGAUAUAUGUGAUCUUACUGUCAAUAGCACCUCACUCAAUAUUGACGGAUAAUUAUUGUAAUCUAAAGUUCAACUGUAAUAAAAAUUAGUUAUCUCAAUAAUCAUAUUUAAAAAGAAUCAUAUUCAAGAUGUUUAGACAAUCAAAUAUGAGUAUACUUAUACUGUGAUCCUAGGUUUAUGAACCCUUAGAGAGGAACAUUUUACGUGAAAUGUUUUGUGAAAUGAAAAAGAUAUAUAUUCAAAUAUCUCAAUCGUUGCAUUUUCUGUAUAGCUACUAAAUUAAAGCAUGAAGAUUGCCAGGAUCAAAUACUCUUAGUGUCAGAUUAGUAAGGGUAGGGAUUUUACCAAGAAAUUAUUAGAUGUGAAAUGCAUUCAUGGAAAGAUAUUGAUGCUAGAAACAUUGGUAAUGACAAAAUAACUUUUUUUUGGAUGAAGGCCACAUUAAUUGCUGAAUACCAGUGUUUAGGUAUUCAACUAAAAUCAGUUCCAUGGGAGAUUUUCUCACUAACAUUUCAUUAUGCUAUUAUUUGACAAGAAAUGAACAUCAAUUAAAAUAGAGUAUCAAAACUAUCUUGGUCAAAUACAAUAAGUCCUCAACAUCCUACUUUUUAAUUAAAUUGACAGAAAUUUAUUGACCAUUUGUUGUGUCUUGACUAUGUUUUUUUAAUAUUUCCCUAGGUAAUAAUUGCUUGUGCAGUGCUGCAUAAUAUCAGCAAGGACAGGAAUGUCCCAAUGCCAGCUCCAAGUGGGAGCAGCGGUCAACCUGGACAGCUGAGGGCACAGAUGCAAGGUCUGCCAGCCAUUGCUCCUACAGCAUCAGGAGCCAGAUACAGGGAACAAUUUGCGAUCAGCUUCUUUUAAUAAGGCUGAUGCUGGCACUGACAGGCUGUCUUCUCUGGCAGGUGGUAAACGUUCACCAUGUCCUGGACCUCGUCACUGACCAUGAUUGGGCUACAACAAAAUCAUGAUUUGUAAAAUACAUAAGAGAAUGAAAUACAUGUUCAUAAUAUUUCCAUA